rnacentral:tRNA from 1 species
UGCCCCAUAGCGAUUGGGGCAGAGCGACGCGCUGUUAACGCGGGGGUUGUAGGUUCAAAUCCUACUGGGGCAGCCA